rnacentral:tRNA from 2 species
GGAGAGGUGCGAGAGCGGCCGAAUCGGAGUCACUGCUAAUGACUUGACUGGGGAAACCCGGUCCGUGGGUUCAAAUCCCACCCUCUCCGCCA